rnacentral:rRNA from 1 species
CAGUAGCCGCGGGAAUACGAAGGGUGCAAGCGUUAAUCGGAAUUACUGGGCGUAAAGCGUGCGUAGGCGGUGAGUUAAGUCUGCUGUGAAAUCCCCGGGCUCAACCUGGGAAUGGCAGUGGAUACUGGCUCGCUAGAGUGUGUCAGAGGAUGGUGGAAUUCCCGGUGUAGCGGUGAAAUGCGUAGAGAUCUGGAGGAAUACCGGUGGCGAAGGCGGCCCCCUGGACAAAGACUGACGCUCAGGUACGAAAGCGUGGGGAGCAAACAGGAUUAGAUACCCCUGUAGUCCCUGUCUCUUAUAC